CGUCUGCGUCAGGCAAUCGCCCCGCGUAAGCGGGGAGGAAAGUCCGGACACGCACAUUGUUCUUACGAUGUAGCAGGGUAGCGGGUAACGCCCGUCCGAGUAAUUCGAGGGAUGCGAACAGAGACGCCGAAGCCGAGAGGCGACGGCUCCUACCGAGGUUUAACCUCGGUCGGAUGAGGCCCGCAGCAAUGCGGGAGUGCAACGGCAAAAAUCCUACCUGCGUGCAAGGUCGUGACCCAUGGGAUAAUGCGCUCCGAAUAGUUCGGCUGAUCCGGAGAGAUGAAUAAAAUCCGAUUUUCCGAAAUGUGCGGAUCGCGUUAUCCCACGGGUAGAACCGCUCGAGGUGAUCGGCAACGAUCAUCCCAGAUACAUGAUUGCCUCGUCCUUCGGGAUCAGACAGAAUCCGGCUCAUGACGCAGAACGAACC
rnacentral:RNase_P_RNA from 1 species